CCCCACUCAGGGUCACACCUGGAGAGUUUCCAGUACUCUACCAGUCUUGGUUACUGGAGGGAGAGUCAAGUAGGGGCCUACCCAUUCCAUUCCCAGCUUGGCCAGUGGCUGGUGAGUGGAAGGCAAUCUGCUACAGCU